GGGCUGUAGAUAGCAUUCUGCAUGUAGAAGACAAUUAAUAAGAUACUUACAUGAGCUCAAACAACUAAUCAGUUACUUGAAAUUGACAAAUAUUGAGUAUACUUACGUUGUAGAGGAAGCCUCUCUCAGCGCUGAGGUCAAGGUGCCUGAGAAUAGGCAACUUAAAACUGUUGAGCGUGCUGACGCGACCGGCUUGGGGACUGAAGACAUCGGCGCGUGACGGCCUGCCAAUAUUCUCUUUGAUCCUGAAGUUGCAGAAUGUCUCCUCAAAACCAUUCUGUCCUUGUUGCCCCUGUUGUCUCUGAAUUCCCUGUUCUCGUCUUUCCUCCUGUUGUGACUCUGGUGGCUGGAUGAAAUCGAGACGUCCUCUAACUCUCACGAUUUGGGGUCUGUUGUCUUUCUGUCCCUGAAGCUGCUGGGCAGUCUGUUGGUCAAUGUUCAAAGCAUCAGCGAGGAGCUGUGUGUUGAAGCCUGCAAAGAUGUUGUUGUUUCCUUGUCGUUGUUGUUGCUGGUGCCUGCUCCUUCCUCCUUGCUGUUGCUGGUGCCUGCUCUUUUCUCCUUGCUGUUGCUGGUCCUGGUCCCAUUGACUUUGGCCUUCCGCUUGUUGUCCACGUCCUUGCCGUCCUCGUUGCCUUUGGCUUUGCCCGUGUUGGUUAAACUCAUCUUGUGGAUUACCCGCUAGAUAGAAUCUCUAUACACAUAACAAUAGUACAAUACAUGUAUGUGAUCUGCAGUCAGCAAUGAUAACAAGUAAUCUACCAAUAAAUAUGCAAAUAUAUUUGGGGGUGUAAAUGGACAGUGUGCUCAUUAGUAGAUAUUUAAUUUACCCUAGGGUUACGAUCAAGCUGGUUUUGGUUGUUGCCGAUGUCAAGAAGACUGACAGCAACAAGAGGUUGAUCACCGUCAUUGUAGGACCAGUAGGUGACUCCGGCAGGAAUAGCAACAACGUCACCUUCUCUGAUGCGUCGAACCUUCUGGUGUCUGUCUAGCUGUUCGAAGCUUUCUUGUCCCUGUUGGCCUUGCUGGCCUUGUUGUCUAUGACGGCCAUGCUGUCCACGGUCUUGCUGCUCUUGUUGUUCACGGCCUUGCUGUCCAUGACGCCCUUGCCAUUGUUGUUGACCCUGUUGUUCUUCAUCAGAUUGUUCUGAUUCUUCAAAAGACUCAGGACAGCCAGGGAAUACAGUAGAUAGAAAACCAUUUCCUGCCGUAAUUAUAUGAAUAUAUUACACACCAUAUACAGAUACAUAUUAAUACAUAUCCAACAUUUAUAAUAUUAGAUAGAAAUGGUUCCGGUUACACAGUACCUUGGACAAUAUAUAUGAGCUGUGGUGCGUGGGUGUAAGAAGGCAAGUGAAGGCCAUUUCUUUCAACAGUGAUUCGUUGAACAGCAACACCAGCACACCGGAAGUCGUCCUGGUUGUAGUUCCAGGACUCGAUCCUACCCGCUUCAGUCUCAAUGCGGUUAUCAGGUUCGCGGGCUUGGAUCUGAUCAAGUUGGCACUCAUUCUGCUGGCUCGACUGAGAUUGUUGGCGCGCUGCUAAGCAGCUGUGGAAGAGGACAAGCAAGCAAAGAGAAAAGGCGAGAGCUAUAGGCUUAGCCAUAGUGUUGAUCAGAUAAGUAUAUAGCUUGUCGUGGUGAAGCGGCGAGUAGAAGGUGUGGUAUUUAUACUUUUAUAGGAUAGAGAAGCUGAAGAGGGAAGGAUAAGUACAACAACGUACAUCUGUAAAUAGUCUGAAGCCAUUCUUAUCUUUGCAUGGCAAAAGCAUUUCACAUUCUUACACCUCAUUUCUCCCAGGGCAGGUGGCUCAUGGCUUCAGAGAAGAUACAAAGUGCCUAACAAGGUGGGGUUUUGCCAUGAUUGUCUGCAAGUGAAGCGAAAUUCUACUGCCUUGAACCUGGUCCAAUAAAGAGCAAAAUUUAUGAGAGGACUAAGAUAUGUUCUUACCAGUUUUAGUAAAAUAGUAUUACAUCAGCACCAACCUGAUGAACAUCUUCUAUAAUGUAGGCAAGGUUCAAAAAUGGCUGUUCUUAUCUUCCUAGUAGCCAUCCAUACUCUGUCAUUUUAUGAGUCAAAGUUUAAUAUUUAAAACUUAUGUAGACAUUCCAACAAUAAAACUUAAAAGUUCUUAACUCUAGUUGGUAAUACUUUGACACGUCAAACUUCUUUGAUUUCUUCCAGAAGCAUAAGCAUCUGGUUCUCACGUUGCUAAUCACUUCACCUAUCUAGUUUUCCUACCAAAAAGAAUCUGAUAUAGAUAGAAAAGUUAGCCAUAAAUGUAGGACUUACUGUGAACAAUGUCCCAAUUCCAACCUCAAAGAUUAGAAUCUAAAAGCUCGUAACUCAAAAUUAUACAACAUCAUUAUAUUCACAAUAAAAAGUACUCUGACAUAAGGUUUAGUUCAGUUUAGUGCUUCUUGAAAAAAAAGAUGAAGACUUCAACUGUUCUACAACAUAAUUGUCUAUAUCUAUACUCAAAAUGAUCAAUAAUCGUUUAUCCUACCAUAUUUCUUGUAUGGAAUAUCUUGUUACAUUUUGUUUUCAUAGCAAAAUGUUGCAAUAUUUGAGUGAUAGAUACACUGCCAACAUGGUGUACAAGUUCCACAGCCAAGAUUUUUGGGCUCACGACAACUCUUAAGGCUUAAGAACCAGUAAUGCAUGGUUGAACUAGGGAGCAGCCAUUGCUGAAGGCUCCUCCUCAAAACGAUCCAUUGCUUUAUUACCCCAUGGUUGGAAAACCUGCCAACAGUCAAAAUUUCCUCUUCCCCCGCAGUCGAUAUUUUCUCAUCUCAAUAAAUUUUAUUCAUCCAAAACAUAAAUCCUUUUGUUUAAGUACCCGCCAGUAUAUCUAAUAUCUGUGACAAGCCGAGUGCUGACAGCUGAUAUUUUAAAACUUGGGAUUCCCUAUAGCCCCUCUCAUUAUAACCCCUCUAAUGUUAAAGCUUCUGCUAAAGACACAUCUCUAGUUCCUCGAGCUAAUGCUACAUCCGCAAUGCAAUUGUUCCCAUGCAAUGAUUAGCCAGAGGAAAACUCGAGGAGCUCCCUUGACUCUGAUCAAUUUAGCCUCAAGUCUCGAACUUGUUCUUUGAAAGUCAGUGAAGAGGCUACUUCUUUAACUGGUGAUGGUGCUCAACCAAUGUUAAGCCAGACAGAGGAUAGUUAAGUGAAUCUGGUCGGGAAGACCUAAAAAGAGCAAAACUUCUUGCUUUCCCUUGCUACACAACGAGUACUACUAAAAGGUCGAUUCCAACAAAAGAGCUCAGGAUGUUGUUAUUAAUGGGGUUGGGACUUGAGUUCUCGGGUGGGAAUGUGAAGGUGCAGCAGUUGCUUUGCAACUCUACUUUACUGUCCUUGUCCAAGCUGAUAAGGGUGGGACGACAUUGAACGGCCUUAUUUACAGGUCCUCUAUAUAUUGGAAUACUUGACUGUCUCAGAAAGGACUUGCCAAGUGAUUCCCUAAUUCUAAUGCUCAGACCUCGGCCUAUUUGAAAUGUCUGAUAGAAACUAGUUUGAGGAAUAAUUAGCUUCUUUACCUGUGAGUACAUGUUUCUAUGGAAGGUUUCUGUAAUGCUAGCUUUCCUUCUGCUAUAAGGAAGGUGACCAAGCUUUUAAUCCUAACACCAAAGUUAAACCUUUUCCAAAGAAAGGGGGUCAAAACCUGUAGAAUAUUAUGUAACAGGUUGAACCUAACACAUAAAGUUCAGCAAUCAUCCAUGAUCCAUCUUCUAUCAUAUUUUUACUGAACCAAAGAUUAAGUAAUCAACACUGGCAGUUGUUUAUGUAAGUUAUUCUGAUAAAGAAAAAAGAUCCAUCACUACCCUUAAACUUAUUGUGCCACAAAACACAAAUGACUUCAAUUGUUCCUAUCGCAUAGAAACCAAACUUUUGUCAUUGUUUCUUGGAAUUAUUCUGUACACAUCACUUCUGUGCAAUCAUGCACAAAAUAGAAUCAAAAUACCAUGACAAUGACAAAGGGUUUAAUUCAAUUUGGCACUUCUUACCAACACUAUGCUCCUCCAAAUGGUCCUCAUAGUCAAAGGGACUUCCCCAUAUCCCUUGUUCCAAAAUUAGCUUCUUUACCCAGAAUCAAUCAUCCUACUACGCUCAAAAUAUCUAAUUUCUCAAUACUCUACUGAUUCAAUUGAGUUGAAGACAAAGUAGACAACAAUUAACAGAUCAAAUGUGAAAGUACAUAAUUCAAUAGACUCACGAUUGCUGAGUUGCAGGUCACUGGUUGUGGUGUGUCUGAUCAGCAGGAGCUACGUUUCAAGCACGCCCUCGUGAAGCAAUCUCGUCCCCGACGCGACCUCUGGUAGUCGGAAUAUGCGGCCGGAUAACAUGAUCCGGCGAUCCCGUCUUUCACAUUGUGUUUGGUUGGACAUUGGCGGUUCCAGCAGUUCAGUUACUAUUGGUCUUCACCCUCUCAGCGCUCAACCUCUUCUAGUCUCUCCUUUUAUUCUUGUACUUGUCAGUUGUCACAGUUGCUAUCUAUGUGAUUGUUCCACGUGGAUUUUAUUUUCCUGCAAAUUCCCAAAUUAAUUAUUAUUUUGUCCAAAAUUUCCAGAUGAAUUGUUUGUUGUCUUUGAUGUUUUUUUUUCUUUUGUAAAAAGAUCGUAUGACCCCUUAUAUGGAUAUUUUCAGGAGACUUCUUGCCGCCUUCACGCUGUUCACGUUCCACAUACAUAUAUACAUGCAGCUCAACAUGCUUUUUCACCAACUUCACUGAGUUCUUUGAUGAUUCUAAUCAUUCGAUGGAAUCACAAAAUAGUUAGUUUAUACAACAGAGUUCGUGAGCUGCUUAUUUUAUAGUUUAAUUUUGGCGUGACGUCAUUAGUUAAAGCUCGACGAAGCAUGCUGUUUUUCUUUUCUAUCAAGAGCGUGAUUAGCUGGUUUGGAAAUUUCAUUUCUAUUUUUCUCGUUCUUAUUGAGAGUCAAACUUUGAAGAAAUGAUAGUCAAACUUCGAAGAAAUGAUUGGAGUCAAACCUGAUGAUUACAGACAAGGGGUGAGCUGCUGAUAUGCAAUUACAGCCAAAGCAAAUUACUGACUUAAAUCUAAGGGGCAAAGCUUCACAAUUUAGAUAAAACACCAACUCACCAAGUAUAGUUGAGGCAAAAAGAAAAUUCAUUUAACGAGAAUAUGACUACAAGAACGUAGUAGCUCGUUAUUUACUAGUUUGUACAUAAGAUCUCAUAUCUUCCGAAGAUGCCAUAUAAAGGCCAUUUUUAUUCACUCUACCCUUUAGCUCGCUGGUACCAUAUUCACUAGCUUAUUCACCGCACAAAAAACACUACGUGCGCAUUACAUACAUAUUCAUACUCAGACAAACAUCUCAGCAAUAUCCAACCAGUUCCUGUGGGAUCGAGGAGACCUUGAUGAGCUCAAAGCAACAGUCUCCUGCCUGUUGUACUUGAGAGUCCUUGCCUGUUGUCGAUCAAUCUGGUAUGCGUUAGCGAGGACCACGUCAGGGAGUGCCCGCAAGACUGAGGUCCGGCCAGCAAGAGUGUUAAUCUUAGCAUUGUCUUGGGUCUUGAAAGCAAUGUAUUCGAAUCCAUUGUUGCUAGCCUUAUGCAACACUGCAUGGUUCUGUGGCACAAUGAAGAGCUGGCCCUGGCGGACCUCGUUGUCCAAGAUGGCCUGGCCGUUGUUGUUCACAACCUGAACCCUAGCACUACCUCUAAUGACGUAGUAGACUUCAUGGGCGUUCAAGUUCCAGUGAGGACUGUAGAUAGCAUUCUGCAAGUACCACAAACAAGAUUAGUAAUCAUAAUCAAUAACCUCAAUUGAUUCAAAAGGACCUAUAUCGUUGAUUAUAUAUACUUACGUUAUAGAAGAAGCCUCUCUCAGCGCUGAGGUCAAGGUGCCUGAGAAUAGGCAACUUAAAGCUGUUGAGGGUGCUGAUGCGACCGGCUUGGGGACUGAAGACGUCAGCGCGUGAAGGCCUGCCGAUAUUCUCUUUGAUCCUGAAGUUGCAGAAUGUCUCCUCAAAACCAUUCCGUCCUUGUCCCUGUUGUCUCUGAAUUCCCUGUUGUUGUCUUUCCUCCUGUUCUGACUCUGCUGGCUGAACAAAGUCGAGACGUCCUUUAACUCUCACGAUUUGGGGUCUGUUGUCGUUCUGUCCCUGAAGCUGCUGGGCAGUCUGUUGAUCAAUGUUCAGAGCGUCAGCGAGGAGCUGUGUGUUGAAGCCGGCGAAGAUGUUCUUGUUGUUUCCUUCUUGUUGCUGGUGCCUGCUCCUUCCUCCUUGCUGUUGCUGGUGCCUGCUCCUCUCUCGUUGCUGUUGCUGGUCCUGGUCCCAUUGACUUUGUCCUUGCUGGCCCCGACGACUCUGGCUUUGCCCGUGUUGGUUAAACUCAUCUUGUGGAUUACCAGCCAGAUAGAAUCUCUACAUACAUAACACAUCAUGCAUGUGAUCAGAAAAAACUAGCAAGCCAACAGUAAGAGUGCUAUUGUACCUCCACAAAAGAAAAUAUAUACAUAUCACAUUUGCUAAUUAAUUUACCCUGGGGUUACGGUCAAGCUGGUUUUGUUGGUUGCCGAUAUCAAGAAGAUUGACAGCAACAAGAGGUUGGUCACCGUCGUUGUAGGACCAGUAGGUGACUCCAGCAGGAAUAGCAAUCACAUCACCUUCUCUGAUGCGUUGAACCUUCUGGUGUCUGUCUAGCUGCUCGAAACUCUCUUGUCCCUGUUGGCUGUGCCGCCCUUGUUGUCUAUGACGACUUUGCUGUCCAGGGCCUUGUUGCCCUCGUUGACCACGGCCUUGUU
rnacentral:lncRNA from 1 species